rnacentral:rRNA from 1 species
UACAGAGGUCUCAAGCGUUGUUCGGAUUCAUUGGGCGUAAAGGGUGUGUAGGUGGCGCCGUAAGUCGGGUGUGAAAUUUCGGAGCUUAACUCCGAAACUGCAUUCGAUACUGCCGUGCUUGAGGACUGGAGAGGAGACUGGAAUUUACGGUGUAGCAGUGAAAUGCGUAGAGAUCGUAAGGAAGACCAGUGGCGAAGGCGGGUCUCUGGACAGUUCCUGACACUGAGGCACGAAGGCCAGGGAGCAAACGGG